rnacentral:lncRNA from 11 species
GUUUUCUUUAGAUAUGUUUUCUAAUAAUAAUAAUAAUAAUAAUAAUAAUAAUAAUAAUAAUAAUAAUAAUCUAACUGAACUCUUAAUCUUCAGUCUUAAAACCUUUUGUGUUCAUGACUACACCUAGGAAUACUUUAAUGCUCAGUCUUCAAAGACUUUCUGGCUCAUUUUAUACCAACUAAAGUGGCGAGAUUCAACUAACCAUGGCAGUGGUGGAGGCUGCAAUGGUAGUAGCCGUGUUAGCAGUCGUAUGCUCAGAAGAGGAUUCCAUAAUGGUUGGUGCAAUACUGGAAAUGACCUGCUGAGGCGGAGAUUUGGUCAUGGCUGCACCCAUGAGGAUGGAAGACUCACGAACAAUAUUUUCAGUAGCCAUGGCAGUAUUAGUGAUGCUCUCAGGAGAGCCUAUCCCUACAGAAGCAUGGAAACAUC